UACGUAGGUGGCAAGCGUUGUCCGGAUUUACUGGGUGUAAAGGGCGUGUAGCCGGGCUGACAAGUCAGAUGUGAAAUCCGGGGGCUCAACCCCCGAACUGCAUUUGAAACUGUUGGUCUUGAGUAUCGGAGAGGCAGGCGGAAUUCCUAGUGUAGCGGUGAAAUGCGUAGAUAUUAGGAGGAACACCAGUGGCGAAGGCGGCCUGCUGGACUGCGACUGACGUUGAGGCCCGAAAGCGUGGGGAGCAAACAGG
rnacentral:rRNA from 1 species